UGGAUUUUGUGGAGCCUUUUACCAAAUCCACUCUGUGCAAUGGAGCACACGGCUCGUGCAUCGAUGAAGCCCGCGGCAAAAAGCGAUAUGUAAUGAGAUUCGUUAGCCUCGCGAUUCAUCAAAUUGGUGAACACAUACUGGACCUCUUCGGAGGUACUUGCGUUAGAGUGCUAGUUUUAUAUCAAUUGAGCCCGAUAAAAGGUGUUUUAAUCUUUAGGUUAUUACGCCCGAGUCGGAGAAGCCGGUUUCUCUUUGAGAAUCCGGAUUGUCCUCUGAGUUAUUAUUUUGGUUUAUUGAGAUCAGACAUACAGUAAGAAUAGUUAGACUAGCUGACCUAUGAACUGCGAUUACGCCCUUCUGAUCAUUAUUCAAUAAAGCGCUACGUAACUCCUUGGCAAUCACUUUUUUAUAACUGGCCUCUAAUGUGAGAGGGUACCCCCUGGAUUUAAGCAUAUUAAUAAGGGGAGGAAAAGAAAA
rnacentral:rRNA from 1 species